ensembl:snRNA U1 U1 spliceosomal RNA
AUAGAAACCCUAACCAAGACAUAAUGAUCAUAAAGGUGGGUUUUUCAGGGCAAGGUUCAUCCAUUGUAGUCUGGAUGUGCCGAACCCUACGAUUUCUCCCAAUGUGGAAAAUUUGACUAUAAAAGUUGUGGCAGUGGGGACUGCAUUUGUACUGUCCCUU